CUCUGUUUGGUCUCAUUGUUUAGGCUGAUGAAUUUCCACUGGGGUCAAACAUUUGUCCUGAGGAGGAUUUAGAGAGGGUUUCUGGAAGGUCAGAGGUCACUGGCAGACAACACUCAAGAGCUGGCAGAGAUUCAGUAGCGCUGAUGCAGGAAAAUUACAGGUUCUCACUUAAGAAGACACAUUACACCGUCAACCACAUCCAAACCGCUCUUCCCAAAAUAAACCAGCAGCCAGAUCAGAGGUCAAAUGUUCAAUGUGGGUUUCCCUGGGUCAACAUGUUGAAAGCACCCACCUACCUACAGCUCCCAGGCUGAGCUGAUGUU